CCCCUCUCCGGGUUGUAGGUGGAGAGUUUCCAGUACUUUACCGGUCUCGACUACAGAAGGGAGAGUCAAGCAGAGGCCUACCCAUUCCAUUCCUAGCUUGGCCAGUGGCUAGCGAGUGGAAGGCAAUCUGCUACAAGU
rnacentral:snoRNA from 2 species